GUCUCUGUGGUCCUCACACACCUGCCUCUGGGGAGGGCCUGCUCUCAGCCUGCCUCCACAGGAGGGUGAAGAGAAGGGGGUGGAAGCAGAGGCGGGGCUACCUCCCUCUGCACUCACCCUUCUGGGCAGAGGCGUGGCUACCUUCUAAGGUAGGCCCUGCCCUGCCUGGUACUCUCCCUGCUCUGACAUCUGUCAGGAAGACCAGCUGCACUCCCUCACCUGGGGCCCCUCCCUUUUUGCGUAGGAUUAGAGUUUUGACAGGGCAUUCUGCUCCCCUUAUCACCAGAUCCCUUCCCUUCUGAGACCAGGAGAACAAGGCAUGCUGUGGACUGUAGCCCUGCUUGUAGCUGUCCUGUCUCCUGGCAGUCAAACAUCUUCCAACUCAGAGAAGACCAUGACAGUGGUCACCAAGCCAACUGGGUCAUCUGUUACAGUCACUUGUAGUAUUCCUCAACAAAGUGGCUACAUCCACUGGUACCGGUUCCAGGAGGGGAAGGCCCCACAGCGCCUUCUCUACUAUGACUUCUCCAUUUCCAGUUCUAUAGUGGAUUCAGGAUUCAGUCCAGUUAAAUACCAUGCUUUUAGAGGCACAAAGAUCUGUAACUUUGUACUACAAAAUCUGGAAGAAAGUGACUCCGGAGUGUAUUACUGUGCCAGCUCGACUGGCACAGUGAUUCCAACCUGCUUUGUACUCCACGCAAAAAAUUGCUUAUGGUUUCUCCUAGUACUCAAGAUAGGCCAGUCCCUACCUCACUUCCGGCUCUCAACUCCACCAUAGUCUAAACAAAGAGAAGCUCUUUAUCUUUUAGGUAAAGAGCCCAACAGCUAACCCCAGAGCUUCCAUCUCACACCCUCUCAAUGGCCUCACCGUGCCCCGGGACCCCACCUCUGAACCAUCCACCCCAGGACUUUCCUAAAAUAAAAUCCCAUAUCCAGGCCUUAACCCAGCAUUCUGACAGAAUACAGGGCUCAUUCUGCUCUCCUAGGGGCUGGCACAGCAGCAUUCAAUCUGGUUUCUAGGAUCGACAAAGUCACCUAGGAUUGGUCUGCUAUGAGAGACAACUGAGAGCAUUAUGUGUUUUAUAUAUAUAUAUAUAUACACACACACACACAUACACACACACAGACA